rnacentral:piRNA from 1 species
UGAAUGGUUCCUUCCUGAGCCCAAGCCAGU